rnacentral:rRNA from 1 species
GACGAACGCUGGCGGCGUGCUUAACACAUGCAAGUCGAACGAUGAAGCUAGAGCUUGCUCUGGUGAAUUAGUGGCGGACGGGUGAGUAACACGUGGGUAACCUGCCCAUAAGACUGGGAUAACUCCGGGAAACCGGGGCUAAUACCGGAUAACAUUUUGAACCGCAUGGUUCAAAAUUGAAAGGCGGCUUCGGCUGUCACUUAUGGAUGGACCCGCGUCGCAUUAGCUAGUUGGUGAGGUAACGGCUCACCAAGGCAACGAUGCGUAGCCGACCUGAGAGGGUGAUCGGCCACACUGGGACUGAGACACGGCCCAGACUCCUACGGGAGGCAGCAGUAGGGAAUCUUCCGCAAUGGACGAAAGUCUGACGGAGCAACGCCGCGUGAGUGAUGAAGGCUUUCGGGUCGUAAAACUCUGUUGUUAGGGAAGAACAAGUGCUAGUUGAAUAAGCUGGCACCUUGACGGUACCUAACCAGAAAGCCACGGCUAACUACGUGCCAGCAGCCGCGGUAA